rnacentral:tRNA from 1 species
GCCCCCGUGGUGAAACUGGAUAUCAUUUAGGGCUUCGGACCCUAAGUUGCAGGUUCAAAUCCUGCCGGGGGCACAA